rnacentral:tRNA from 1 species
GGGAAGGUGGCUCAGUGGUAGAGUGCUUGCCUUGUAUGCAUGAGGCCCUGGGUUUGAUUCCUCUGUACCA